rfam:Barley virus G isolate Gimje, complete genome.
UGAAGCUAGCCAGACAUACGUGAGUUGCAAGUACUGGAUAGCUUAGUCUCACACAU